CUUCUCUUUCCCCCUUGAAAGUAAGCCAAUGGGAGGGAUAUAUGAUGCUGAGAGGAAUUUUCAUUUUGAAGGAUGCAAGAUCCAGCACACUGCCUGCACUAAUAGUCAUUCAGCCUGUCACAUAUCAUAAUACUGCUCUGUGUGCGUAGAACAAUACAGGCUGCAUUUAUCAUAAAACUUGCCCCCAGGCAACUUUCUGAGCAUACAGAUAAAGGGAAUUCAUUUGUGCCCUGAUCAUUAUGACAAUGUUCUUCAACAGGUAGAAAGGCUGAUUUUGUCUUGACAGUGAUGGCCUGUUCGUGUUGAUGGCAAAAUGUUUGUUUUUAAUGAUGCCCAUAAAUGCCAGUGAAACAUUUUUUUCUCCGUCUCUUAAGGUCUUUAGAAGUAUAAACAUUCCCUCAUUUUCUUUUGUUUUCAAAGAUACAGAUAAAGUUUGGAUUCCUGACAAGCACUCAAUCUGUGAUUGCAAGUGGAGAGAGUGACAAGAUAGUAGCUGCUAGAUAUAACAAGUGAUUCUGUGUGGAGUUCAUAGAAUUGCAAAUCUAACAGAAGAAAUACUUGGCAUCCUCUUUCAAAAAUAAAAAAAAUCAGUCUAUUUGUAAUACUGAAAUGAAGAGAUCGGGAAACUGUUCAAUGGACAACAGUAUUAGAGAGAGAGAAAGGCUUGCUGAUCAUUUUAAACCUAAUGUUAAUCUAAGGAAAACUGGUGUGCUACAAAGGCUUUUCCUGUUGAGAGGUGAUGAUUUUUUUCUUCAUUUUACUAAGGAAGACAACCAGAGGAAAUGUAGUUCCAAAUGAUAUCUUCCCAAAUAGAAGAUGACUUCCAAGCAACCACAGACAUUAAAAUACAGCGACACCAACAGAUAUUAUAGAUCUAAUUCAGUGGUUUGAAAUAUAUCAGCCAAUAUAAUUCCCACAUCCCUUUCCAGUCCAUUAAAUACUCUAUUUUUUAAUUGAAGUUAUAAUAUUUAUUUGCUCAUUCUCACCUGUUUUGGUAUGCUACAUUUCUUCAGUAAUUUCUCUAGUGAUUUGUGCUUGGAUUAGUUUAUUCCUUC
rnacentral:lncRNA from 1 species